UACGUAGGGUGCGAGCGUUAAUCGGAAUUACUGGGCGUAAAGCGUGCGCAGGCGGUUUUGUAAGCCAGAUGUGAAAUCCCCGGGCUUAACCUGGGAAUGGCAUUCGGGACUGCAAGGCUUGAGUGCGGCAGAGGAGACUGGAAUUCCUGGUGUAGCAGUGAAAUGCGUAGAUAUCAGGAGGAACACCGAUGGCGAAGGCAGGUCUCUGGGCUGACACUGACGCUCAUGCACGAAAGCGUGGGGAGCAAACAGG
rnacentral:rRNA from 1 species